UCUCUCUCCCUCUGUCCCUUUUCUUCAUCUCUCUGCUCUUCCCUCUCCCCAUCUCUCUCCCUCCCUCUCUUCUCUCUCUGUCUCUCUGACUCAACACUCAGAGCAAGUGUUUGCAAAAACAAAAUAAUGGCAUGGUUUCACAUGUGUGACUGAUAGCAUAUUUCCUGCCUUCUCCAUAGGUGGGGGAGAGGCGGGAGGGAAUUAAGAACUCAAUUAUUUUUUAAACGAAAGCCAAAAAUCUCUUCCUCUCCCUCUGUCCCUUUUCUUCGUCUCUUUGCUCUUCCCUCUCCCCCUCUCUCCCCCUCUCUCUCUGACUCAAUACUCGGAACAAGUGUUUGCAAAAACAAAAUAAUGGCAUGGUUUCCUAUGGAUGGCUGAUAUCAUAUUUCCUGCCUUUCCAUAGGUGGGGGAGAGGCGGGAGGAAUUAAGAACUCAAUUUUUUUUUAAAACUAAAACUAAAAGUCCCUUCCUCUCCCUCUGUCCCUUUUCUUCAUCUCUUUGCUCUUCCUUCUCCCCAUCUCUCUCUCUCUCCCUCUCUUUCUGCCUGUCUCUCUCAUUGAACACUCAGAGCAAGUGUUUGCAAAAACAAAAUAAUGGUUUUCUAUGUAUGGCUGAUAUCAUAUUUUCUGCCUUUCCAUAGGUGGGGGAGAGGCGGGAGGGAAUUAAGAACUCAAUUUUUUUAAACUAAAGUUAAAAGUCCCUUCCUUUCCUUCUGUCCUCUUUCUUCAUUUCUUUCCUCUUCCCUCUCCCCAGCUCUCUCUCUCUCCCUCUCUUUGUCUGUCUGUCUCUCUCAUUGAACACUCAGAGCAAGUGUUUGCAAAAACAACAUAAUGGCAUGGUUUCCUAUGUAUGGCUGAUAUCAUAUUUUCUGCCUUAUCCACAGGUGGGGGAGAGGCAGGAGGGAAUUAAGAACUCAUUUUUUUAAAAAACUAAAGCUAAAAAUCUCUUCCUCUCCCUAUGUCCCUUUUCUUCAUCUCUUUGCUCUUCCCUCUCUCCAUCUCUCUCUCCCUCUCUUUCUGUCUCUCUCAUUGAACACUCAGAGCAAGUGUUUGCAAAAACAAAAUAAUGGCAUGGUUUCCUAUGUAUGGCUGAUAUCAUAUUUUCUGCCUUAUCCACAGGUGGGGGAGAGGCGGGAAGGAAUUAAGAGCUCAAUUUUUUUUUAAACGAAAGUUUAAAGUCCCUUCCUCUCCCUCUGUCCCUUUUCUUCAUCUCCUUGCUCUUCCCUCUCUCCAUCUCUCUCUCUCCCUCUCUUUCUGUCUGUCUCUCUCAUUGAACACUCAGAGCAAAUGUUUGCAAAAACAAAAUAAUGGCAUGGUUUCCUAUGUAUGGCUGACAUAUUUUCUGCCUUUCCAUAGGUGGGGGAGAAGCAGGAGAGAAUUAAGAGCUCAAAUUUUUUUUAAACUAAAGCUAAAAAAUCUCUUCCUCUCUCUCUGUCCUUUUUCUUCAUCUCUUUGCUCUUCCCUCUCUCCCUCUCUCUGUCUCUCAUUGAACAUCAGAGCAAGUGUUUGCAAAAACAAAAUAAUGAUAUGAUUUUACAUGUAUGGCCGAUAGCAUAUUUCCUGCCUUUCCAUAGGUGGGGGAGAGGAGGGAGGGAAUUAAGAACUCAUUUUUUAAAAAAACUAAAGCUAAAAAUCUCUUCCUCUCCCUCUGUCCCUUUUCUUCAUCUCUUUGCUCUUCCCUCUCUCCAUCUCUUUCUCCCUCUCUUUCUGUCUGUCUCUCUGACUCAACACUCAGAGCAAGUGUUUGUAAAAACAAAAUAAUGGCAUGGUUUCGUAUGGAUGGCUGAUAUCAUAUUUUCUGCCUUAUCCACAGGUGGGGGAGAGGCGGGAAGGAAUUAAGAGCUCAAUUUUUUUUUAAACGAAAGUUUAAAGUCCCUUCCUCUCCCUCUGUCCCUUUUCUUCAUCUCCUUGCUCUUCCCUCUCUCCAUCUCUCUCUCUCCCUCUCUUUCUGUCUGUCUCUCUCAUUGAACACUCAGAGCAAAUGUUUGCAAAAACAAAAUAAUGGCAUGGUUUCCUAUGUAUGGCUGACAUAUUUUCUGCCUUUCCAUAGGUGGGGGAGAAGCAGGAGAGAAUUAAGAGCUCAAAUUUUUUUUAAACUAAAGCUAAAAAAUCUCUUCCUCUCUCUCUGUCCUUUUUCUUCAUCUCUUUGCUCUUCCCUCUCUCCCUCUCUCUGUCUCUCAUUGAACAUCAGAGCAAGUGUUUGCAAAAACAAAAUAAUGAUAUGAUUUUACAUGUAUGGCCGAUAGCAUAUUUCCUGCCUUUCCAUAGGUGGGGGAGAGGAGGGAGGGAAUUAAGAACUCAUUUUUUAAAAAAAACUAAAGCUAAAAAUCUCUUCCUCUCCCUCUGUCCCUUUUCUUCAUCUCUUUGCUCUUCCCUCUCUCCAUCUCUUUCUCCCUCUCUUUCUGUCUGUCUCUCUGACUCAACACUCAGAGCAAGUGUUUGUAAAAACAAAAUAAUGGCAUGGUUUCCUUUGUAUGGCUGACAUCAUAUUUUCUGCCUUUCCAUAGGUGGGGGAGAAGUGGGAGAGAAUUAAGAGCUCAAAAUGUUUUUAAACUAAAGCUAAAAAUCGCUUCCUCUCCCUCUGUCCUUUUUCUUCAUCUCUUUGCUCUUCCCUCUCUCCCUCUCUCUCUGUCUCUCAUUGAACAUCUGAGCAAGUGUUUGCAAAAACAAAAUAAUGGUAUGAUUUUACAUGUAUGGCCAAUAGA